GUGAGCCUGAGGAGGCAGCAGCAGCAGCUGAGAACUGCACUUGGACCUGUGCUGUGGGACCAGAUUCAUCAACGUUGGCAGGUUGCUAUGACCCAACCACAAAUGGCUCCCAUUUGUCUUGUGGAAAACCACAAUGAACAGCUGUUGGUGAACCAGGAAGCCAUAGAGAUUCUGGACAAGAUUUCUCAGCCAGUGGUAGUCGUGGCUAUUGUUGGAUUGUACCGUACAGGGAAGUCCUAUUUGAUGAACCGUCUGGCGGGACAGAAUCAUGGCUUCCCUCUGGGCUCCACUGUGCAAUCUCAGACCAAGGGCAUCUGGAUGUGGUGCGUGCCACACCCCACCAAGCCAGAGCACACCCUGGUCCUCCUGGACACUGAGGGCCUGGGGGAUGUGGAAAAGGGUGAUCCUAAGAACGACUUGUGGAUCUUUGCCCUCAGCGUGCUUCUGAGCAGCACCUUCAUCUACAACAGCAUGAACACCAUCAGCCAUGAUUCCCUGGAGAAGCUGCAUUAUGUCACAGAACUCACUGAGCUGAUCAGAGCAAAAUCUUCCCCAAAUCCCCAUGGAAUAAAGAAUUCCACAGAGUUUGUGAGUUUCUUUCCAGACUUUGUCUGGACUGUUCGGGAUUUCACACUGAAGCUGAAGUUAAAUGGGGAAGACAUCACAAGUGAUGGGUACCUGGAGAAUGCCCUGAAGCUGAUCCCAGAUAACAAUCCCAGAAUGCAAGCAUCCAAUUUGGCCAGGGAAUGCAUCAGACGUUUCUUUCCAAAUCGGAAGUGUUUUGUCUUUGACCGGCCAACUUAUGACAUAGAACUCCUACAAAAACUUGAGACCAUCUCAGAAGACCAACUGGAUCCUAUGUUUCAGGAAAGAACAAAGGCUUUUGUCUCUUACAUCUUCAAUUAUGCAAAGAUUAAGACCCUCAAAGAGGGAAUUAAGGUCACCGGGAAUGGACUGGGUAUUCUAGUGACAACCUAUGUGGAUGCCAUCAACAGUGGAGCAGUGCCUUGUCUGCAUGAUGCUGUGACAACUCUGGCCCAGCGUGAGAACUCAGUAGCUGUGCAGAAGGCAGCUGACCACUACAGUGAGCAGAUGGCCCAGCGACUGAGGCUUCCCACAGAAACGCUCCAGGAGCUGCUGGAUGUGCAUGCAGCCUGUGAGAAGGAAGCCAUGGCUGUCUUCAUGGAGCAUUCCUUCAAGGACGAAAAUCAGCAAUUCCUGAAGAAGCUGGUGGAAUUAAUAAGUGAGAAGAAUGGGCUUUUCCUGUUGAAGAAUGAAGAGGCAUCUGAUAAAUACUGCCAGGAAGAACUGGAUCGACUUUCAAAGGAUUUGAUGGACAAUAUCUCAACAUUUUCUGUUCCUGGGGGACACAGGCUCUACAUGGACAUGAGGGAGAAGAUUGAACAUGACUACUAGCAGGUUCCCAGGAAAGGGGUGAAGGCAAUUGAAGUCUUCCAGAGCUUUCUUCAGUCACAGGCCAUCAUUGAGAGUUCCAUCCUGCAGGCAGACACAGCCCUCAUUGCUGGGCAGAAGGCCAUUGCAGAGAAGUGCACCAACAAGGAGGCAGCUGAGAAGGAGCAGGAUCUGCUAAGACAGAAGCAGAAGGAGCAGCAGAAGUAUAUGGAGGCUCAAGAGAAAAGGAACAAGGAAAACCUAGAGCAACUGAGAAGGAAGCUGAUGCAGGAGAGAGAGCAGCUCAUCAAAGACCAUAACAUGAUGCUGGAGAAGCUAAUGAAGGAACAAAAGGCUCUCCUUGAGGAAGGCUAUAAGAAGAAAGCUGAGGAAAUGAGAAGAGAGAUCUAUCGACUGAGACAUAACAUCAAGGAUAUGAAACAAAACAGUGAUUUCUUUGUGGACAGUGCUGUAAGAGACCUUGCUUUAUUUCUUUCCUCUUUACUGAUUGAAAAGGCUAUAAAAGGCCUUAUUUCAUUCUUUAGGAGCAAAUGAGAGACUGUGAUAUAGUUUGUGUUAUUUGAAGCUGCCUGUUUUCCAUUUUCAUUCUGCAGAGAAGAUUAAACAUAAAAAGUGCUGAUUAGAGGGCAUCUGUGCCCCACACAGAAGACAUAGAACAGCUCCUACGUGUCUGCACAGACAAUGCUUGCCUUUAGAGAACACAUUUUGAAAACAUUCCUAUGGAAGCUAUGCAUUUAGUCAUUACAUGCGAUCACUGCUGGCCAAUUUAACUGAAAAUCGAAUAAGCUAGGAGACAAGGUUUUCUGUAUUCUUGUGAGGAUCAUUCAGCCCAGGAUAGGUUGUGCAGGAUUGUCUCAGGUUAAUAUGGUAGGGAACCCAUUCUGUGGGUGGGCAGCACUGUUCUUGUGGACUGAAGACACAGAGAAUGUUGAAAACAAAUCGCCCUACCACUUGUAGCUUCCUGACUAUGGAUGCCAUACAACAAGCCAGCCUCGACUUCUCUCAGAAUGCAUUCUCCAACCUUGACAGAAUGUAUCAUCAUGAUUCAUGGACCACAACAAACCCUUUCUUAAGUUGGUUUUGUGAGGGUAUUUCAUCAUAACAAUAGGAAAAGUCAUUGAUAUUAUAACUGUGAUAACCUGGAAACUACUUAAACAUCCCUGAGUUAGAUUGGCAACAAAUUUUUAUAUGGCUUGAUCUUGUAGUACUAUAUAGUGAAGAAACAAAUAUCAGUCAACCUAUCUGUAUAAUGAUCUAAAUUGAGCUAAAAUAUAUCUUAAAAAUAAAGUGAAAACACCA